rnacentral:misc_RNA from 1 species
AAAGUCGUAACAAGGUCUCCGUUGGUGAACCAGCGGAGGGAUCAUUACAGAGUUGCAAAACUCCCACACCCUUUGUGAACGCACUGAAACUACUGCUUCGGCGGGCUACCCCUGAAGAGCUGCCCGCCGGAGAAGCACUAAACUCUUGUAUUUUUGGCUUCUCUGAGUGAUUAUACAAUGAAUCAAAACUUUCAACAACGGAUCUCUUGGUUCUG